UACAAAUCUGGCUGUCGAGAUGCCUAAAAAGCAUUUCAUAGCAAGGGCCGGGCAAGACCGGUGCCAGCCGCCGCGGUAACACCGGCGGCUCGAGUGGUAACCGUUAUUAUUGGGUCUAAAGGGUCUGUAGCCGGCCGGAUAAGUCUCUUGAGAAAUCUGGCAGCUUAACUGUCAGGCUUUCAGGAGAUACUGUCUGGCUCGAGGCCGGGAGAGGUGAGAGGUACUUCAGGGGUAGGGGUGAAAUCUUGUAAUCCUUGAAGGACCACCAGUGGCGAAGGCGUCUCACCAGAACGGACCUGACGGCAAGGGACGAAAGCUAGGGGCACGAACCGGAUUAGAUACCCGGGUAGUCCUAGCCGUAAACGAUACUCGCUAGGUGUCGGCCACGGUGCGACCGUUGUCGGUGCCGUAGGGAAGCCG
rnacentral:rRNA from 1 species